UUAAGGUUAAAUUAAAUUUAUAUUGUAUUAAUACCAAGAGGUGAUGGAUAGAAAAUACUGUUUUUAGAACUUGUGAGCGAUUUUUCAGCGGCCAGUGCUCACAAUUCGCUCAGAACCGUUUUUAGAGUUGUCAUAGUGGGUAAAAAUGAUUAAAAAAAUAUUACAGCUACCGGAGACUUCAAACAAAAGUCACAAUUUCGUAGAAUUUUUCGACCCCCUUCUUCCAGCCAUUCAUUUCCAAAGAAAUCUGACAUUCUGAUUUUACCCAUGUUUACGCUGUCCCCUUUUACACUCGGCAAGUGGUGCAUACAUACCAUUACCUCUGAUAAAGCCUCCCGUUGAACCAAAAAGGGAUAGAAAAUUACAUGCGCCGGGAAGGAGAAAACUGAAGAGGAUUUUGAUUGGAGAGGGAGGGAUAACCAACUCCGAAAAGCUGAAUCUCGUGAAUUGUACCAAAGGUCACUUAUUCAUCGUUUCCACCACUCCCAUCUACCUCGAGUCAUUCAAUUCAACAUCUCUCGGGAAAAUGCGGAGAUUCAAGAGUAAAUUGAAUUAAUGAAGAAAAGUUGGAUGAACAAAAUAAAUUAAUAAGAAAACGAAAAUGUAGUCAAAUGGUUCUGACUGAAUAACACCGAAGAGAGUGAAUGGAGGACAAUGCGGAGAGUAUUUUUCCCUCGCCAAAAAAAGCUGACCGAAUCCAAGACACAAAAGAAUUGAGAGAUGAUGUAGCACGAGGGGUGAACACUUCAUCCGCAAUUCCGGAAUCAGUCUGACAUUGCUCCAGUCGAUGAGCCAGAUGCGACGCAUUCAAUAAUUCAUGAGCACUUACGGCGAAACGAAAAUGAUCCUUCAACCGACAAUUCCGAACUGUACGUCUCAGUAAAAUGAAAUUUCGCUUUAAACUUUA